UACGUAGGGUGCAAGCGUUGUCCGGAAUUAUUGGGCGUAAAGAGCUCGUAGGCGGUUUGUCGCGUCUGCUGUGAAAACGCGAGGCUCAACCUCGCGCCUGCAGUGGGUACGGGCAGACUAGAGUUCGGCAGGGGAGACUGGAAUUCCUGGUGUAGCGGUGAAAUGCGCAGAUAUCAGGAGGAACACCGGUGGCGAAGGCGGGUCUCUGGGCCGAUACUGACACUGGAGGAGCGAAAGCGUGGGGAGCGAACAGG
rnacentral:rRNA from 1 species